GGCACACGCAGGCACACAUGCGCACACAGACAUGCACACACACGCACGCGCACACAGGCACACACGCGCACGCAGGCACACGCACACACACACAGGCACACGCACGCACACACACACUAAGAGGAGCGGACAAUGGAGGCGUCGCAGAGUAGGAGCCGGCACCCGGGAGGAGACCCGGGGACGGAGGACGGGGUGGAGGCAGCUCAGCCAUGGGGCAGCGGCAUCAGCCUCCAGACAACGUGCCCACGGCCCCAGCAGGAGGAGGGGAGACCCAGGCCGGCGGGCAGGGGGUCCCCGAGGCUCCCGGGGGUCUGACCGCCUGGGGCGUGUGAGGGCAGCCAGGGGAGGAGGGAGCUGGAGUCCUCCCCCUGCGCUCUGGGCACCGGGAGGAGGAUGAGCCCCAGUGAGGAGGGAGGACACGGGAAAGGCCUCAGUUUCCACCUCCAUAAAUUGGGGUGCUUGGACUCGGUGGCCCCGAGGAUUCCACAGGCUCAGAGAAGUGUCUUUGGUCUUGUUUUUCCACUGAGGACCCGCUGUGCUCUGAGACCCUGGGAGAUGUUUUCUACUUUCUGGGGGCCCUACUGCGCACAAACAGGCCGGGGUUUGGGGGAAGGACCUGGGAGAGAGCAGAGGAUGGCAGAGCACUGGACCACGAGUCUGGGGUCCAGGGACACAACAGCCCUGGUGGGGGCCUCGGGGGCCUCCCUUGGAGGUGGUCAGUGUCGUUGCCCCGGCUGGGUGAGGAGGCCGUGAGAGAGCUGGCACCCAGGGCAGGUGGAGCAAAGAGGGGUCACAGGGGAGUUUUGAGUCCCCUCCUCCAUCGCCCAAGGGCCUCCAGCUCCUUUGCCCCAGGGACGGAGAGCUGCUGCCCUGACACCUCACACCAAGCACCAAGCUCCAAGAUCUGAGCUGGUCAGAGGCGCGUGGGGGCCGUGAUGAUCUUAUUUGUUCACUCAGCACCUGUGCAGGUGGCAGGUUAGGCCCUGGAUCCAGCGCUCAAAGCCACCGACGUGGUCCCAGCCCCCAGGAGCUCAGAGUCUGGAGGGCACAGGCCGGAGCCACGAGAAAGCCCGUGGUGAGGGCCUCACCGCCGCUGCAGGCGCUGGCUCAGCCCUCACCUGGCAGGAUCUGGCCUUUCAGCCAGAGGAAGCCAAAGAGCUCCACGGACGAGACGGAGCUGGAUGACGGGACUUCUACACCCCACCCCUGACCACGGGGCCAGAGGCCCACACCACCAACGGGCCAGAGCAGGAUGGAGUGUGAGAACGCGACACCUGGGGACGCGGAGGAGACCGGCCCAGCGCCACCUGCUCUAUGGGCUCCAUGUCUUGCUCUCCCACCAGCACCAGGGCAAGAUCCCUAGAGCCAGAGCCCCCUCCAGCUUCGCCCGAGCUCUGGAGCUGGGUCCAGGGGCACGGGCAGCUCGAGGGUCAGCUCCAGAGCUGGAGCCCGUGAGAGGCCCACGGCCAGUCCCCGCUCCGGCACGGAGCCCUCGCCAGGGAGCCCUCGCCAGGGAGAGCACCUCCAUCCCAGCCAGAGGCCGCUGCCGGGCCCAGGCCCCCCGGGAGCCCGAAGACGCUCCAGCUCCCUUGUUCCAGCCGGAGCCUGCGUUCUCUCCAUCUUACUUCAUCUUUUAUUUUUUAGUUUUAACAUACAAAUGUAAUUAAAUUUUUUUGUUAUUGA